AUAAUAAACACAAUGUUGUUGUCAAUAGCUUAUCAGACAUCCUGAAGUUCCUACAAGAAAGAGUUGACAACACUAAAACCUUUAACAUAAUGUGACAAGGGACGACCUUUACCAGAGAGGUCUGAAACAGCGGGCCAGACAGAAGCAGGCUUCCCACAAAAACCAGCUAAUUGUUUCCUUUAUUGGAGAACACGACAUUGAUGAAGGAGCACUACGCCGAGAGUUCCUAACUGAAAUGAUGCGAGGCCUUGAGUUGAACUUAUUUGAAGGAGUUUCAUGCAAAGGCAAAACCCCAAAUAUAGUAUCUCUUACUACCAGGAAAACAGAUACAGGUAUGUACAGUAUGAUGCUGCUCUGCAGUGUAACUUGGCUUGUUUUGUGUUCAGGAUCUGUGGGGAGAUCAAUGCCACCAGCUUGGUUCAAGCAGGACCAGCACCGAAUUUCUUUUCUACUUGGUCUUACCAUUUCUUGCGUCAUGGACAAAUAACAAAUGAAGAUGUGCCAGAGGUGACUGAUAAGGAAAUCCAGAACCUGAUUCAGGAGGUAAAUUAAACAGAAUAAUUUAUUUUCUGUAAAUUGUACUAACAAGUGUUUCUGAUUGAAGGUCGAACGUGCCGAAGAAGACGCACUGACAGACCUUUCUGAUGCCAUUGUAGCAUGUGGCUACACUGGUCAAUUCACAGCAAUUGCAAAAGGGCCAUCAUUGAGGCCAUCAGUUUGCAUUCGGUGAUGAGACUCAUACCGAUGCUAAGUCAGCUUAGAGAAGGACUGGCCAUCUAGGGUUUGGAUGAGCUGUUGCCACAACACCACCAGGCACUUCAGCCCCUCUUUCUUCCUGGGAACCUUAAACAGGUGGAUGCAGACUUCGUUGUGGAGGCACUGGCUCCUCAGUACAGUGACAAUGGAUCAGUAAGACACAAAGGAAGUGGACAUGAUCAACUUUUUGCAGGACCUCUUGCAAAACCUGGAAGAAGGAGGAACAGAUGACCAAGAUGGGAGCCCAUCAGAUGGCUGUGGAGCAAAGCAGUUGUCAGUGCAAGGAUUUUUUUCAGUGGGUUUCAGGCCAGGCACAUUUGCCACUAACAGACACAGAAAGAGAAUUUUACAAGAUAACUAAAUGUUGAUCACGACAGUACCACCCGGUAUGGACCACACUUAAUCACCUUACCUACAUGGCACGUUACUACAUACACUGACUUUGAAAGUCAGCUUACUCAGGCAGUCUGUGAUAGAUUUGAUUUUAGCAGACAUUAAGUGAAAACAAGAUGGCCACUGUUCUGGGUUCAGGUUACUGUAUAAUGGUUCAAAUUUAACUUUGAAUCCAAAAAGACAAAUGGUUUUGUUAAAUAAUGUAAUGUUUUGGAGCUAGAAAGCGACAUUGUUACAUGAAUCCAUAAAGUUAGGCUUAUUGCCAUUUCAAAUACAUGUUAUGUAUUUCUUUUGUAACAUUAAUAAAAGCACUGGAACUGAUCUCUUGAUUUUUUUAUUUCAAGUACACAUUAAUCUGACAAAGCAGCAUUAACAUAUUCUCUGCACAAUAGAUAAAGUUCCUUAGUGUUUGAACGCUCCCAAUUUUGUGCCAGUAGCAACUGCAGUUCAGCAUCUUAGGUGUGUUCUUGCUGUGUCUUUCUAAAUCCAUGCUUUCGUUCUUUUUUAAACACAGAAACAGUUUUGUUUACCUGUUAGUAGCUACAGUUUCGCCGACGGCUGCCGGCUUCUUCAGGCUGACGCUGUUGGUGGCGCGUCACUUCCUUCUCCGUUUAUCUGCGGGCAGCAGAGACAACUGCCCGCAGAU